UACGGGGGGGGCAAGCGUUGUUCGGAAUUACUGGGCGUAAAGGGCUCGUAGGCGGCCAACUAAGUCAUACGUGAAAUCCCUCAGCUUAACUGGGGAACUGCGUGUGAUACUGGAUGGCUUGGAUUUGGGAGAGGGAUGCGGAAUUCCAGGUGUAGCGGUGAAAUGCGUAGAUAUCUGGAGGAACACCGGUGGCGAAGGCGACAUCCUGGACCAACACUGACGCUGAGGAGCGAAAGCCAGGGGAGCAAACGGG
rnacentral:rRNA from 1 species